rnacentral:miRNA from 1 species
CGACCUGGUUUUGGGGGGGGGAAAUAAAGGAAAAAAUUUUUUCCUUUAUUUCCCCCCCCAAAAAACUAGGUGCG